AGCGACCCCAGGUCAGGCGGGGCUACCCGCUGAGUUUUAACCUAUUAAUUAAC
rnacentral:rRNA from 1 species